CUGGGAAUCGCAUCUUCCUUGCUCUGCCCUCACCUGUCCAGCUGUGAUCCGUACUGGUGGUGGGUGUUCAGGACGGACUCAGGGAACCAGGAAACCUAGAAAUGCCGCCUGUAUCCACAUGUGGGAUGUUGCAGGACUCCGUGGCCUUGGAGGAUAUUAAUGUGGAGUUCACCAUGGAGGAGUGGGCUUUCCUGGAUCCGACCCAGAAGAAACUCUACAGAGAGGUGAUGCAGGAAACCUUCUGGAACCUGGCAUCAAUAGCAUGUAUUUUAGAAGACAAAUGGGAAGACCAUGACAGUGAAGAUCAGUAUGAAAACCAUGGGAUGAAUCUUAGG